UCCAAAUUAAAUAUAUUUUGGUGUGCAUACUGAUAAAUUGCUAAAAUAGCUUAUAAUCAAUGUUUAGCUUGUCAAAUCCAUAUUCCUGGGUAGACGAUCAAAGCUCUGGGUACAUUUGACUACCUGAUGGGCCAUUUGAGCAUUUCAAUUUUCAUUUUCACUGCAUGUUUUCUGGUUGUAUAAAAGCUUUCUCAUGCAAGAGCUUUUAUACACAAGUGAGAACCUGACCAAAAAGGGAGAAAUUUUUUAAACAAAAUUAUGGGAGGCCAUUGUUUUGGACUGAGCUCAUGUGCUAGGCCCCAACAGACCAAACCAAACUGAAAUAGAGUCACUCAUGCUAAGACAUUAAGGAAACACAUAGAUCUUAGACAGACCAGGAUUUUUCUCCUGCAAAUUUCUAUAAGAAACAUUCCUGACAGCAUAGGUAUCCACCCCCUGAAGUUUCCCUUAAAUAUUUUAACCAAAUUCAUUUCCUGUUACCUAGAGACCAUCAAGCUUCAGAUGAUCAUGUGACGAGGGUUACAGCCAGUUCCAAGUAAAGAUAUCACCCCUGGUUAUCAAGAAGCUACCCUGUCUUCACUAGAAAGAGCAGGACAAGAGUUCCAUGAUCCCCAAUAGUUCCAGGACACAAGUGCAGGAUGUGCACGUUUGUUACAUAGCUUGCAUCCCACAGAAGAAGCCGACUGGAUUGUGGUGGAUAAGCUUUUUGAUUUGCUGCUGGAUUUGGUUUGCCUGCAUUUUACUGAAGAUUUUUGAAUCAAUGUCCAUCAUGCAUAAUGGCCU